rnacentral:piRNA from 1 species
UGACCAAUGUUUAAUUCUUAAGUCUGAAA